UACGAAGGGGGCUAGCGUUGCUCGGAAUCACUGGGCGUAAAGCGCACGUAGGCGGCUUUCUAAGUCAGGGGUGAAAUCCUGGAGCUCAACUCCAGAACUGCCUUCGAUACUGGAGCUUGAGUCCGGGAGAGGUGAGUGGAACUGCGAGUGUAGAGGUGAAAUUCGUAGAUAUUCGCAAGAACACCAGUGGCGAAGGCGGCUCACUGGCCCGGUACUGACGCUGAGGUGCGAAAGCGUGGGGAGCAAACAGGG
rnacentral:rRNA from 1 species